ensembl:lncRNA
GGGAAACCGAUCUAGAGGUCCAGCCCUGAGGGGGCUCCCAUUUCCCAGUCCAGACAGGAGUGGGCUCUGAUCCCCAAAGGCAGCCCUGAGAGCCCGGAGACUCACAAUUGCCCACUCACCCACCCGCUCCUGCCUCCUCCACCGCUGUCGUUUGGCAGCUCCUCUGCUCGCUCUCAGCCCACCAUCAAUACAAGUGUGAGCACUGAGGAUCUGCCAUCCUCCAUCGUCGCUGUGGCUGGAGCAUCCCUCACCACUGCCUCCAGCCUCCGAGGCCUGUACUCCGCCUCGGCCCAUAGACUCAGAGGCUCCACCUCGGCUCCUAGCUCCCUCACAUCCAUCAUCACCCGUCAAUCCACUAGGCUCCCUCAUCCCUCCGGCUCCACCUUGGUCGGGCGUCGACCCGCCAUUGCCUCAGACCUCCGCUCCUCCAGCUACACCUCGUCACUCUGUCCCACCGGCUCCAUUGGACUCCUUCCUCCUGACCAGCUCGACCUUGGUCCUCAGUUGCUCCGGCUCCGCCAUGGAACUCUGGAUCUCUGCCUCUGCCUUGGUCGCCAGUGCCCUCGGCUCCACCCUGGCCCCCCAGAUCCUUGGCAUCCCACUGGCUCGUUGGCUCUCUGUCUGGUCCGCUGCCAUUGGUCGGCCAUUCCUCCUCCAUGGCUCCUCCCUUUUGUCAGCUCCAACAUGGGUCGCCAUAAUGGCUGUGCCCUGGGUCCUGCUUGGCUCCUCCUGCUCCAAGUCCCUCCUGGCUCCUCCCUGGCUCCUCCCUCCUUCAUCACCUCCUUGGUCUCUGUCUGCCGGCCCCCUCCCGGGUAUCCAUCCUCCUCCAGAGCCAUCUCCCAAGUUGCCACCCACCCCUCCCCAUGUUGUUUCUAUGGCGCAAGGACACGCCUUCCGGUAGGGGGUGAUAUGUCAGGAUUCUGGACUGUCUGUGUUGUGUUUUUGCUCCCCAUGUGCUCUGUGACCUAGUUUUCCCUGAGUGUUUAACUUUUCAUUUUUUCCAGGUGUGUUUCAUAAUUAGUUCAUUUUCCUCACCUGUCUGCCCCUCAUUAUCUAACCUAUUUGAGAUCCAGCCUGUGCCAUUCUCCCUUGUCCGAGAUUGUACGUCAACCCUUGUGCUACCUGUGUUCCUGUCUGCCCAGUGUCCUCCCUUGGAUUGUGGAUUAAAGGACUAUUGUGUGAGUUUAUGCCUUGUCUUCUCGUUCCUUGCUCCUCUCCAUAGGCGAGUGUGACAGGUAUCAGUUUUCACAAAAAUAUAAAAAAUUAAGCAGC